AGCCACGCUGUGGGCACAGAGCGAACUAUUCUUUCGCCUUUUACUAAAGAAUACCGUGUGCUCGCCGCAAUUGGUGGCAUACGCCAAUUUUUAGAGGAGUUUUUUUCAACAGAGAAG
rfam:Prunus persica cultivar Lovell chromosome G2, whole genome shotgun sequence.